AACCCCGUCAUUCGUCUGAGGUGAUUAGGACUUGGCUCGCAGCGUCCCAGCACAGAACAACAUCGCGACCGCUUGAGACAACAGUCCAGGAUCUUAGUGGUGCCAUCAACCCCGGAACAAGUUAAGUGCUUUUGUGUCUUAUGGGGUUAAAAUGGUAACAUCUUGCAGAUAUGGACUGGGACUAACUUGUCAUAGCCACGAUAGAAAGUCAAUGAAUUGAGUGUGUUUUGUUGACAUACCGAGGGAUGUUUCUGGUAGAUAUUCGGACGUGCAUUUUGUAAAUGGAGGCUCCUUUUGCAGUCAAGCUAGGCUUCAGUCCGUUUCCGUGGUGUACAUGCCUGGUGUGUGGCUGAUUUUUGUUUCUGUUGGUUUCUGUGGCUGUGUUGCCGGGAGUGUAUUUGGUCGUAAAAUUAUUCUGUUGUUUACAAAACAGGGUCUUCCCUGGUUCACCAUCUGUUGUAAUUUCUGUUUUAUGUCAUGGUCAGUGGUUGUCGGGAACCUAGACCAUUACAUAAUCUGCUUUGUGUCGCUCUCUUGGGUCCCGAACCAAGAGAACAACACAGGCCAGAAAGGACGACAGGUGGUUGAAGAACCUAUUUGAUAUUAGUAGUUAAUUCCUGUAGAAAUACUCGACCUCUCGGCGUAAACACAGUCACAGAAACCGAAUCAGCCAUUCAUCGGGCUUGUAUACCGCAGAAACAGACUGAAACAGCCAUAGCUCUCGAAAUUUAAACUGACACAAACGUCAACAUUACUUGGGAUUUCAUUGAAGCACACUCAAUCGUUACUACACAUAAAUUCAUCCCACUGUUUCCAUGAUAAAUCUAGAACGGAAAUUUUAAUCACAAACCAAGUUAACUUUCUGUGCUUUAAGUUAAGUCUAAGGUAUAUUUCCUAUAUUUCUGAGCCAAAAUGAUUCAUUUUCGUUUUGUCUUUUCUACCGAGGAUCAUCGCACCGUAAGAAGAAAUGUCCGGACGUGGAAAGGGAGGCGAGGACUGACGAAGGAAGGUACCGGACGUGACUGAAUGGAGAUUCACAGUCUUCUGACACAUAUGACAAGGAUCUUAGUGAUGCCAUCAAGCCCGGAUCAACUGCAGCCGCAAUGUUUAAGUUAAGUACAUAAUAUGUGUCUUCUGGGGUUAAAAUGGUAACAUCUUGCAGAUAUGGACUGGGACUGACUUGUCAUAGCCACGAUAGGCAGUCAAUGAAUUGAGUGUGUUUUGUUGACAUACCGAGGGAUGUUUCUGGUAGAUAUUCGGACGUGCAUUUUGUAAAUGGAGGCUCCUUUUGCAGUCAAGCUAGGCUUCAGUCCGUUUCCGUGGUGUACAUGCCUGGUGUGUGGCUGAUUUUUGUUUCUGUUGGUUUCUGUGGCUGUGUUGCCGGGAGUGUAUUUGGUCGUAAAAUUAUUCUGUUGUUUACAAAACAGGGUCUUCCCUGGUUCACCAUCUGUUGUAAUUUCUGUUUUAUA